GGAAAGCCUAGACUCUCAUCCUGGAUUGAGAAUAUAAGAAGCUCAUGAAGAUUCAUCAAUGGAAUAAAACCAAAGCAGACGCUGAAAUGGCACUGACAUCGGUGGCCCAAGUGUUCCCCACUGCUUUCUGUUAAGUCUGAAAGA
rnacentral:lncRNA from 1 species